rnacentral:misc_RNA from 1 species
AACGCACGAGACCUGCGGACCUGCGGAGGGAUCAUUACAGGUUCGUCGAAAGACGUCCCCUUUACACCAUUGUGAACCUACCUAUUUGUCGUGCUUCGGCAGGCGGGGGAGCCCUUCUCUGGGAGCCCUCCUCCGGCCGGCCUCGGUGCCUGCCGUAGUACAAUAAUACAAACUAUUUUGUCAUCUCAGUGGACUCUCAGAGAAAAAACAAAAACUAUAACAACUUUUAACAAUGGAUCU